AUACAGAGCGCAGGAGGAGGGUAGACAGAGAGAACCAGAGCAAUGCAGUGCCGUGCAGAAAUGGCGAGAAGAUUUAUUUGCACUGAUGUUUCCGAGCGGGAACGCGAAAAUAACGACGAGUUGGUGUUCAGGUGACGCUGCAGAACUUCGCUUUUAAUCCUUGGCACAUAACCACAGGGCAAAUGCUGAUGGAAGAAUGUCCAGUUUAAUUUGCUAACCAGCGGAUCCAGUUCUGCAUACUUGCAUAGAUGCUUGAAGAGAACGAGAAAAAGAAUUAAUUCAAAAGAGGCCCACAUGAUUGAAGACGAGGAAAGAAGACUGCUUGACCCCCUACUGGACAAUCGAGUGGAGACUACAGCUUUUUUCAGGAAGAUUCGGGCUCCGAUUUAUUUCACUGAUUUUAUUUAUUUGCUUUGAAUUUGUUGUGCAAUUUUGCUUGCACUUGUAUACAAAUGUUUAUCAUGUUUUCUUUGAGUUAAAAUGUCUGUAUGAGUUUUGAGAAGUCAAUUUUCUUAAAUAAAAAAAAAGUUGUUGAACAA